GGACGAGGCUUUUUUUUUCCCCCCACUGUUAAAGGGACUACUUGAAGGAAGAAUUUUUGUAAAGCUACUCUUAGCUGUAUAUCCAAAGCAAAUGUUAAGCAAGUUAGCAUGUAGAACGCUUUCCAGAAAAAAAUUUCCUUAUGAAAUUUUUAUUACAUACAAAUAAACCGUAUGCGAAGGAUGUAAGUUUUACGAAUGACAGACAUUAAAAAAUAAUCUCACUUGUAUUCAUUGUCAGAAUUUUGAAUGUUUUCUCAAACACUUUCACUUCCUGAAUGCUAAACAAGAGGGGGGAAAAGUUUCAAGGACAGGUGCCAGCUUACUAGCAAUGCUCCCAGAAUGCACCAUGACAAGCGGACUACUUUGAGUGAUCAUGGACCACGUUGGUUUUUGUCAGUCCCUUGGAUGCUCGUGCGUCUUCAGACUCUCUUGCGUGGCGCUAGCAACCUGAAUGGAUUUUUCCAACACGUUUGCAGCCAGAGUGUUGAAAUCUUGGUCCUGGAAGCUUUGCCUUCUUUUCCUGAUCUGUCACCUAGAGGGUGGUUUCAUUUUGAAAUAUUUUGGAAGUUCGCCUGGUUUUGCAGACUUUUAACUAUUUGUCUGGUAUGUGAAGUGUGGGGAGAGACCAAAGAAAGAGAAAGAACGUAGCUGACAUUAGACAUCUGAAAAAAAUAAUACAAAUUUGAAACAGGCACAUUAAAAAAAAAAGAA
rnacentral:lncRNA from 1 species